UUUAAUAGAAGUAUAGGCCUAUAGUAUAUUGUGAUUUUUGUCAAAUAUUAGGCCUAGGCCUAUAGAAUAUACUUGAAUAUAGAUAAAUGAAUAAUAAACCUAAAUUUAUAGCUAAAUAUUAAAAUAUUAAUAUAUCAAUAUAGGCAAGAAAUUAACUUUAAACAGCAGUGUUUGCGAGCAGGAUUUGCGGCCAUCUGUAAGUUAGAGUGGCUGCCCCUGAAUCUUGCGCUAUAAGUUUACAAUUAAAAAAAAAAUAAACACGAUGGCUGCUAUAGUAAAUGAGCAUAGUUUCAUCUGUUGCAAACAUCGCUAGUCUUCAUUUAUUGACAUUUAUUACUGAAAAGUUUAAUUCAAUUGUUUGAAAACAGCUGUUCGUUUUGUUUCUGCUGUUGUAAAAUCCAGACAAAAAUUUCAAGUGCAAGUGCCAGAUACAGUUGGUCCACCAGAAUUUAUUAGGACUCAUAGGGCACAUCAAAAUACUCUUGAGUAUUUCACUACAUCCCUUGUUUGUUUAUGGAUUGCUGCAGUUUUCUUCCAUCCAGUGCCAGCAUCACUAGCAUACCUUGGAUAUUUGGUUGGAAGGGAACAAUACUUCUGGGGUUAUAUACAGGAGGCAAAUAACAGGAUACCAGGCUUCUAUGUUGGUAUUAAAUUCCUGACGGCUCUCUUUGCGAUGUGUAUAGUUGGUGUUUUACACAAGCUACUGCGCUAUUAUUUUUACUUUGAUUUUUGGCAAAAAUGUCUUUUUUUUGCUGGUGUCUCAAAUGAUGAACUGUAAAUGGUUAUUUGUUACAUUUUUAUAACUUUUCUCAUUGUGCAUUAUUGUUAAUACCAAUACAUUCUAGGCAUGUUAUUUACACAAGAUUAUAAUUUAAAUAAAAUAAUGCCUUACAAAUAUGUAUAUAUAUGUGUGUUUUAUAUAUCUUAUAUAUAUUUUUGUAUGGAUAACACUAAUAAGCCCGUAUGACUAAAUAUUGGGACUUAAAAAAUGUAAUAAAGUUCUAUUUGAUUUGA